UGGCGGCGUGCCUAAUACAUGCAAGUCGAGCGAACGGACGAGAAGCUUGCUUCUCUGAUGUUAGCGGCGGACGGGUGAGUAACACGUGGAUAACCUACCUAUAAGACUGGGAUAACUUCGGGAAACCGGAGCUAAUACCGGAUAAUAUUUUGAACCGCAUGGUUCAAAAGUGAAAGACGGUCUUGCUGUCACUUAUAGAUGGAUCCGCGCUGCAUUAGCUAGUUGGUAAGGUAACGGCUUACCAAGGCAACGAUGCAUAGCCGACCUGAGAGGGUGAUCGGCCACACUGGAACUGAGACACGGUCCAGACUCCUACGGGAGGCAGCAGUAGGGAAUCUUCCGCAAUGGGCGAAAGCCUGACGGAGCAACGCCGCGUGAGUGAUGAAGGUCUUCGGAUCGUAAAACUCUGUUAUUAGGGAAGAACAUAUGUGUAAGUAACUGUGCACAUCUUGACGGUACCUAAUCAGAAAGCCACGGCUAACUACGUGCCAGCAGCCGCGGUAAUACGUAGGUGGCAAGCGUUAUCCGGAAUUAUUGGGCGUAAAGCGCGCGUAGGCGGUUUUUUAAGUCUGAUGUGAAAGCCCACGGCUCAACCGUGGAGGGUCAUUGGAAACUGGAAAACUUGAGUGCAGAAGAGGAAAGUGGAAUUCCAUGUGUAGCGGUGAAAUGCGCAGAGAUAUGGAGGAACACCAGUGGCGAAGGCGACUUUCUGGUCUGUAACUGACGCUGAUGUGCGAAAGCGUGGGGAUCAAACAGGAUUAGAUACCCUGGUAGUCCACGCCGUAAACGAUGAGUGCUAAGUGUUAGGGGGUUUCCGCCCCUUAGUGCUGCAGCUAACGCAUUAAGCACUCCGCCUGGGGAGUACGACCGCAAGGUUGAAACUCAAAGGAAUUGACGGGGACCCGCACAAGCGGUGGAGCAUGUGGUUUAAUUCGAAGCAACGCGAAGAACCUUACCAAAUCUUGACAUCCUUUGACAACUCUAGAGAUAGAGCCUUCCCCUUCGGGGGACAAAGUGACAGGUGGUGCAUGGUUGUCGUCAGCUCGUGUCGUGAGAUGUUGGGUUAAGUCCCGCAACGAGCGCAACCCUUAAGCUUAGUUGCCAUCAUUAAGUUGGGCACUCUAAGUUGACUGCCGGUGACAAACCGGAGGAAGGUGGGGAUGACGUCAAAUCAUCAUGCCCCUUAUGAUUUGGGCUACACACGUGCUACAAUGGACAAUACAAAGGGCAGCGAAACCGCGAGGUCAAGCAAAUCCCAUAAAGUUGUUCUCAGUUCGGAUUGUAGUCUGCAACUCGACUACAUGAAGCUGGAAUCGCUAGUAAUCGUAGAUCAGCAUGCUACGGUGAAUACGUUCCCGGGUCUUGUACACACCGCCCGUCACACCACGAGAGUUUGUAACACCCGAAGCCGGUGGAGUAACCUUUUAGGAGCUAGCCGUCGAAGGUGGGACAAAUGAUUGGGGUGAAGUCGUAACAAGGUAGCCGUAUCGGAAGGUGCGGCUGGAUCACCUCCUUU
rnacentral:rRNA from 1 species